rnacentral:lncRNA from 9 species
GGACUCUCAGGAUGUCUGGCUAAGAUGCCGCAAGGCCUGAGCGAACACGGACAAGUCGUGUGGACUUGGCAGCUGAGAAAGGAAGCUCAUGGUACAUUCACCUCGCAGUGUGUCAGCUCAUGCGGUAAAAACGUAAACUGAUUUCUUAAUGUACAUACCUUCUAAUGGAGAAAGUUAUAAACACUUGGGAACUAUUACAGAAAGAGUAGAACCUCGAAAGACGAUGGCUGCUGGUGAUCACUGCUGUUUGAAAAACCUCAGGAUGUCUCGUCCUGUGGGGACGCAUCUUUGUAACAGUGAGCUUGCCCUGUGUGCUUGCUGUGGAGUGGGCUGGGGUGGGAGCUCAAAGCAGGCUCAUACAUUGAGUUCGCAGUGGAGGGACUUCUCUCGUCGUCCUGGCUGAGGUCAUUUGAUGCCGAACUGCCUGCUCCUGGCUCCAGCACGUCAGCGUCCACUCCCCGCUGCCCAGUGUCAGAGAUCUGGGCAGCUCGUGACAGACCAGGGUCCGUGGUUUGUCUUCUUACACCAACCUCAUCACUGCCACACUCGCUUCACACUUCUCCCGGUGGUUGGGACCCCAGUUCAAGGUUACCUUGAUUGCUUUCAGGUCUUGAGUCAUGAAUCCCUCUAAACUAUUUUUACCUCAAAACGUUCUUGUGUUUUCACCAACUCAUUUUUUCCCUCUUUGUUUCGCUGUUUCUUUUCCAAGGCUAAAUUCUUCCCUCCUCACCGCCCUGGCAAACUAGCUCCAUCCUUUACUGCAUCUUCCGUCUGCAUCUCCAGCUCUUCCUGCCCCGCUCCCCGCGAGCCCCGGAGCCCCGCUCCCUGAGACGCCAGCGGCGCAGAGGGUGGGGCGCACGGUGGCCCCAAAAUGGGGCAGAAACGGGAUCGUAUGUCACCGCUACCCCAGCUUUCUCCCCCGUUCCACAAUCAUCUGGAAAGUGUCCGUAUGAAGUAUUUCUUUGCUCUGCUUUCUCCCUGCUCCACCCAUUGCUGAACAUCCCAACACCUGACCUUGUGCCGCCAACGCCCUGUUCCGGGGCGCGUCGCCGCGUGUCUAUCUCCUUGCACGUGACAGAGCCGACUGUGCCCUCCUUUGGGGGUUUCUGCAAACUUCCCGGGUUACCUACUUUCUCUCUGGCCACUCGUGUUUUGGCGAGUGUCAUCUUCCUUCCAGCUCUGAAGGCAAGCGCGCUCCAUUGCGCCGGCCCUGAGCCUUCUCCUCCCGCCCCUCCCACCCCAGAGUCAUCAGCCUCGCAAAGGCUCCGUGAGAGAACUCCCAGGGUUCUCUCCACUUCAGUGUCUUUGGUAAAUGCCUGCUGGUACCGUUGACCCACAGGUGCCACUGGCCCGCACACAGGGUGUCUGCUAGAUAAGCGCUCCUCCCGUCCCAAGCAUCUCCCACCCAUCUACCCAACAGCGUCACUGUCCGACCUGGCCUUUUCGGCACCAAGCCGGCAUUCUGCCUGUGCUUCCUCUCUCCCCUUACCCCUGAAUCCGAUGUAAGCCGUAUUUUAAGGACCUGUUCUAGUCACCUUCCUCCAUCUGUCUCUCCCACCCCCACCUCUUCUUCCUUUAGGCAACAAGGUCCCUGCGGCUGGAGGCGCACACUGCCUACAGUCAGUGAGGUUGCCCAGGAGAAUGUGUGGCUACACAUUCUCUCUCUUCCUUAUUCUUGGUUCUUUCCCUUUGCUGAGAUGAUCUCUGUGUGGACUGAAUUGCUGCUGUCCCUCCAAAGUUCCUGUGUUGAAGCCCUAAUCCCUCAGCGGUGGUCGUUGGAAGUGCGGCCUUUGGGAGAUACGUGGGGUCAGAUGAAGUCCUGCUCAUUGGCCUCCUCGUGGGGCUACUGCCCUUGUAACAGGAGACACUGGCCGCCUGCUGCCCCCCUCUGCUGCGUGAGGACGCGGUGGGAAGACAGCUGUUUGCAAACCAGGAAAAGCGCUCUCCCCAGAAUCCAACCGUGCUGGCUCCCUGACCCAGGGUUUCCAGUCUCCAGAACUGUGGGAAAAUGAGUUUUUGUUCUUUAGGCCAUCUAGUGUUUGGGAUUUUGUUAUGGGAGCCAGAGCUGACUAGUACAACCUCUAAGAUUUAUUUUUAAGUGGAGAUAAAAGGGUGCCAAAUAGUGUACUAUUGGGGUAAAAAACAAAUCUGUGAAUACAUACAUAUAUAUUUACACACACAUACACACACAUUGUAUAUACAUUUUUAAAACUCUGGAAGGUAAAUGAGAAAAUAAUCAUGUUCGCUAUUUGUUUUAGGGGCAUAGGAACCUGGCAGGUGGACGACAGGGCUCGAAAGGAGACAUCGCAUUACAUCUUUCUAUGCUUCUGAUGCUUGAACUAUGUAAAUGUGCUCCCUCUUCAAGAAAUCAAAUACAUUUUAUUUUUAAAAUCAUGGCAAAAAUGUUUGAUUUGGAAAAACAGGAUUAUAUUGAAAUAAGGAAAAUACUGGUUAUAUUGAAAGAAGGUUGCUGAUUAGGAUAAUUAGAGCGGAAGUUGACAUUUGAUGCAGGCACAGUUUGAAGAUGACGGGCUUUGAACUAUUAAUUAUGUUAAAUUGCUUUCUCAGUCAGUUCUACGGUAACUCCCCUGACGAUAUAGACAGCUCCACUGUCUACUGCCCCUUCUGAGGUCUGCACUGGUUGCUGCCAGCAGAACACGGCGUGUCCCACCUGCCAUGCGCUUGGUUGAAAGAUGCUGGCCACAGGGACUCAGGUCCCUCAGUGAUGCCCGAUGGUCUCUGAGUGUCACCCCUCCUCCUUCAACUGCCCUCGGUGGGUGGUCUGAUAGGAUGCGGCUGAGAAAAGCGUCUGGGCCUUCAUCUGAAAGAGGUCCGUGCCCCUUCCUGGAUAAAGAGGUCACUUUUCUCACAACUUUCUUUGGCCAAUUAGAUAUCCAGUUGAUUUCGAGAUGUUAUAUCCUACCACCCCAAAGAGCUGUCCUUAGAGGUUAUUCUGUUCAUUUCAUUUCUGUUCAGCACUUCCUCUCCUACAGAGAACAGACCUGUGGUCGCCAAGGAGGAGGUGAGUUGGGGGGAUGGACUGGGAGUGCGGGGUGGUAGAUGCAGACUAUUCCGUUGAGAACGGGUAAGAUGGUGAGGUCCUAACUCUACAGCACAGGGAACUGUGUCCAGUCUCCUGGGAGAAAUACCAUAAUGGAAAGGAAGGUUUCAGAGAGAGAAUGUGUACACGUGCAGAACAAGUCGCCCUGCCACAGAAAUUAACACAACAUUGUAAAUCAACUAUAGUUUAAUUUUAAAAAAUUAAAUGAAAAAUGUUUAAAGGCGUUCCCGUCGUGGCACGCGGAAACAAAUCCGACUAGGAACCAUGAGGACGCAGGUUUGAUCCCUGGCCUUGCUCGCUGGGUUAAGGAUCCAGUGUGGCCUCGGGCUAUGGCGUGGGUCGCAGACAGGAUCUGGUGGUGCUGGGGCUGUGGUGUAGUUCCCGUUAUAGACCCCUAGCCUGGCAACCUCCAUGUGCCGCGGGUGCGGCCCUCAAAAGACAAAGGACGAAAAGAAAAGUUGAAAGAUUUCCUCUCCAUUAGUCACCUAGCCUGUCCCUUUCAAAGACCCCCCCAGAUGAAGGCAGGGUUUUCCUGACCUCGUCCUACGUUUAUUGACCCUUGCUGAGAUUCUCUACGUGCUUGUCCCUCCCCAUUCGACUCGGGAGGUUCAGGGGCCGUCGCAUAUUCAGUCUGCUUCCCAGGGCUGAUAUGCGGUAGGCACUCCAAGACUGAAUGAAGGCAUAGAUAUGCAGACUGGCUGAAGUGUGAAAGACGCGUCCAAUGCUUAGGGAAGCUAUUUCGCAGGGGUUCCAACUCUGCACUGGAAGUGUGUUAUUCAUCCCCGAGUGAUGUGUAAGCGCUGAAUUCUGUCAGACAAUAUUCCCCAAGCCUUUGACUUUUUGUGGAACACUUCCUAUUUUGUAGAUUGUUUCGGUGUGUGGUUUGAAAACUCCGCUGGGCAUCCCCAGACGGAGGCAUCCCGAGAAGGAGCUCCGCUGUUUAAGAGCAUUUUGUUCCUGACGUUUUAAAGCAUAGGUGACAGCUCUCAAUCCGUGGGUUGUCAUCCUCACCUCCAGAAAACCACAUUUCUUAUUGUUUGUGGCACCUAAGUCCCCUUCUCUAGAACUCCCCCUGUGGAAGCGAGCCUUCGGCAGAAUCUCAGAUCCACAGAGCCGGGGCCCCCACCGUCAGCUCUACCAUUUGUACCCAGGUAGGUCUCUAUGUGUCUUUCUCACAGAUGUCCUUUAAAAUGUGAAAUUGGCAGAAAACAAUCAUUAAUAUUUUCUGUCCAAAAGAAUUCACUUUCCAGACAAAAGGGGCUGAUUUUGGAAGGUUUCCACUGUGUCAAUAAGCCGCUGGUGAGACAGACUUUAGAAUUAGACCCAUUAUCUUUUGUUAAUUGAGUUCCCUACACAGAGGAGAUAAAGAACAGGCUGGAACUUCUCCGAUUCAGGCAUGUGCCUACAUAGAUACGGCCCGUGGAGAUGCCCACGGCAUAUAUCAAAACGUGAUAAAGGCGGCUCGCAAGGGCGCGUUCUCUGCACCAUAUCGUUUAAACCAUGUAUGCCUUUGUGUGUGUGGAUGCAGGUUUGCAGGUAAAGAAAACUAUCUAAAAUGCUGCAACACCAAAAUCCUAACAGACAGGUCUUCGAAGAGGGACGUCAUGUGUAAUUUCUGUUUUCUUUACAGACUUUUGAUAUUGAGAACAUGUUUUAUACGGUGUAUGUACUACCACUAAAAUGAAGAGGAAAAAGCUGCAAAAAAUGGCCUCAGAAUCGUUUGGUUUCGGAGUUCACUGGCGUUAAUUGUCUCACGGAUGCUGAUGAAAUGUGUCUGUUGACGUAUAUAAUACAUUCAUCUUUAUUUUCUAUGGAAUCUUGAGAUCGCCUGUGUCGCAUGGUGACUGGGUUAAUAACACGGUUCAGGAUCCUGGAACUUUGCUAAGAGCAUAGACCUCAGGUGCCUGGCCACACACACAAAUGCCCAGUGCGUUAGAAGGUGCAUAUGCUAAUUGACUGGACUGCAUAAUCAUUUCACCACAGAUACGUAUAUGAAAACAGCAGCCUGUACUCCUUAAACAGAAACAGUUGCUAUUUUUUUUUAAAGGUUUGGGAUAGACGGGAUGCAGACGGAGAUGAGAGAAUUCAGCUACCUCCCACCUCGCAAAAAGCAGCAAAGCAGAUGGUUCAUCCUGACGGACCAGCAGAACUUAGAGGAGCCAAAGCCCCAAAGACAGAGCCGUUCCUAGAACCGGGGAAUUUAGCCGUCCUUCUAGUCCUCCCUUCUGUCAGCCUCAUCCGCAGGACCACUGGCAAGGCUGAUUUCGAAUGAAUCAUCCUCGGCAUUUGCCCCCCUUCAAACUGCUUAUCCGUCACUUCAGGGAACUUGCUCCUUGUCCUCAGCGGCAUGCGGUAUCAGCUCAGACACUGUCCCCAGACCACAGAGUUGAAGAAAAUCCUGCAUUAUGUAUAC